rnacentral:piRNA from 1 species
UAGGGUACCUGCAUACCACGUGUGAC